rnacentral:rRNA from 1 species
UUCCGGUUGAUCCUGCCGGACCCGACUGCUAUCAGAGUGGGACUAAGCCAUGCGAGUCAACCCGCAAGGGUGGCGGACGGCUCAGUAACACGUAGUGAACCUAACCUGGGGACGUGGACAACCAUGGGAAACUGUGGCUAAACCGCGAUAGGUCAUUGUUUCUGGAAUGGGCAAUGGCUCAAACCUACAUGGCCCCAGGAUGGGACUGCGGCCUAUCAGCUUGUUGGUGAGGUAAUGGCCCACCAAGGCUAUUACAGGUACGGGCUCUGAGAGGAGGAGCCCGGAGAUGGGCACUGAGACAAGGGCCCAGGCCCUAUGGGGCGCAGCAGGCGCGAAACCUCUGCAAUAAGCGAAAGCUUGACAGGGUUAUUCUGAGUGAUUUCCGCUAAGGAAGUCUUUUGGCACCUCUAAAAAUGGUGCAGAAUAAGGGGUGGGCAAGUUCUGGUGUCAGCCGCCGCGGUAAAACCAGCACCUCAAGUGGUCAGGAGGAUUAUUGGGCCUAAAGCAUCCGUAGCCGGCUCUGCAAGUUUUCGGUUAAAUCCACUUGCUCAACAAAUGGGCUGCCGAAAAUACUACAUAGCUAGGGAGUGGGAGAGGUAGACGGUAUUCGGUAGGAAGGGGUAAAAUCCUUUGAUCUAUUGAGGACCACCUAUGGCGAAGGCAGUCUACCAGAACACGUUCGACGGUGAGGGAUGAAAGCUGGGGGAGCAAACCGGAUUAGAUACCCGGGUAGUCCCAGCUGUAAACGAUGCAGACUCGGUGAUGCACUGGCUUGUGGCCAGUGCAGUGCCGCAGGGAAGCCGUUAAGUUUGCCGCCUGGGAAGUACGUACGCAAGUAUGAAACUUAAAGGAAUUGGCGGGGGAGCACCACAAGGGGUGAAGCCUGCGGUUCAAUUGGAUUCAACGCCGGA